ensembl:lncRNA
GCUCAGCCCUUUUCGGGUAAAGACGUGCAAGUCUACCUGUACAAGUCCACCGAAACAAGGUUCACAAACAAGGUAAACUUUUUUUUUUUUUUUUCUCAUUUUGACUCUGCCAUAGCCAUGUGUCACAGUAGCAUCUCUGUUGUCACUGGUUGUCAAAAAAGAUCACAGCGCAGCAGACGGCAGCGCAACCUGGGUAAUCUCCGCUCACUUCAACAAACCUCUUCGGCUGUAACCUCUUUCUCUGUUGGCCUGUGGAACUGUCAGUCUGCAGUCAGGAAAGCUGAUUUCAUCUCAGGUUAUGCCAACCACCUCUCCCUAGGGCUCUUAGCUCUCACGGAGACAUGGAUCACACCUGAAAACAAUGCUACCCCGGCAGCACUCUCCACCAACUAUGCCUUCUCCCAUACUCCCCGGCCAUCUGGUCGUGGAGGUGGGACGGGGCUGCUGAUUUCAGACAACUGGAAAUUCACUCCACUGCUGCCUUCAAACAGGUAUGCCUCCUUUGAAUAUCAUGCAAUUAUGGUAACUGCUCCUGUUAAAACUUAUGUGAUUGUUAUCUACCGUCCACCAGGACAACAGGGUGAUUUCGUCCAUGAGCUGGACACCCUGCUGUCAUCCAUCCCUGAGCAGGAGUGUCCAAAACUCAUCCUUGGCGACAUGAACAUCCACCUAGACAAUCCCAACUCAGCUGACUUUCGAACCCUGGUUCACUCGUUCGACCUACAACAGGUCCCCACUCCUCCAACUCACAAAGCAGGAAAAGAGCUUGACCUCAUCCUUGCUCGGAACUGCACCACGGACAACCUAACGGUAACCCCUCUGCAUCGCUCGGACCACUUCUUCAUUCGCUUCGAUGUUCGGCUCAUUGAGCAACCCUCUGUCCCCCCUCCGAUGGUCUCGUUCCGGCGCAACCUCCGCAACCUCUCUCCCACCCACUUUUCCUCUCUGGUUUCUUCUGCUCUUCCACCUUUAUCCACUUUCUCCUCACUAGGUGUCGAUGAUGCCACAGAAUCACUCUGCUCCACUCUGAGCUCAUGCUUGGACACUUUGUGUCCACUUUCCACCAGACCUGCUCGUUCUACCCAGUCUCAUUCGUGGCUGAGUGAUACCCUCCGAACGCAACGCUCCAAUCUCAGAGCGGCUGAGAGAAAGUGGCACAAAUCUGCAGCACUGGACGAUCUUGCAAGCUACCAGACACUGCUGGCCUCCUUCUCAUCCAGCAUCACUGCUGCUAAGAAGACUUUUUUCAACGACAAGAUCAACGGUGCAACUGACGCUCGGAGACUAUUCUCCACCUUCAAAACUCUGCUCUACCCUCCUCCUCCUCCCCCAGCUACUAACCUCACUGCUGAUAACUUUGCUUCCUUUUUCACAGAGAAAGUGGCAGCCA